rnacentral:lncRNA from 1 species
GAUUAAAAAAUAUGCUAAAAUACUAAUUAUAAGUAGAAAAUGAAAAAGAAAAAAAGAAAAAAGAAUAAUUUCAAGAAAAUGAAAUAGAAAAAAUGAAAAUAGAAUAAUUACAAGAAAAUGAAAAUGUGACCGUAUGUUAUAAAGGAAACCAACUCAAUCAUUUUUCCAGUGUUACAUUAGCACCAUCUUUAUUAUUUCGAGAUCCUUAUAAUCCUUACAACCAUCUCAAUCUCAUCAAAACAAUACGAAAACCCUAUCAUAAUCAUUGGUGACGCAAGAAUAAAAUUGAAAAUAAGGGGAAACACAGAUGAAUGGAGUGACAAAAUGAGAGAGUUAGAGAUGUGUAACCAUCAAAAGAUCAUCCUAUAUCAGAAAUCACUUGAUUUGUACAUUUGAUAGAUAAGAAAGAAAACUACUCAUAAAAGAUAGAAAAAUAGGAGACUAUGACAAUUUUUCAGCUGUACGUAUUUAUUUACCAUUUGUAUUUUGUUUAUACAAUCAUAAAGUGAUUAUGAACCAGAGAUUUCUAUUAAAUAAUGUAAGCUAAAUAUUUCUAUUAAGUACAUCCUCAAUUAUAUAAAUCAAUGAAACAUGUAAUGAGUUAAAAACCUUGACAUUAAUUAGUUUAGAAAGAUAUGUAUUGAACAUCAAAAUUUAUUAAAUAUAUACUUAUAUCCUAAAGAACAUAAAAUGUCAUCUUCUAUAUUCUGAUAAUUAAACAAUUAACAUAAGUUAUGUAGAUUAAAAAAUAUGCUAAAAUACUAAUUAUAAGUAGAAAAUGAAAAAGAAAAAAAGAAAAAAGAAUAAUUACAAGAAAAUGAAAAAGAAAAAAUGAAAAUAGAAUAAUUACAAGAAAAUGAAAAUGUGACCGUAUGUUAUAAAGGAAACCAACUCAAUCAUUUUUCCAGUGUUACAUUAGCACCAUCUUUAUUAUUUUGAGAUCCUUAUAAUCCUAACAACCAUCUCAAUCUCAUCAAAAUAAUACGAAAACCCUAUCAUAAUCAUUGGUGACGCAAGAAUAAAAUUGAAAAUAAGAAGAAACACAGAUGAAUAGAGUGACAAAAUGAGAGAGUUAGAGAUGUGUAACCAUCAAAAGAUCAACCUAUAUCAGAAAUCACUUGAUUUGUACAUUUGAUAGAUAAGAAAGAAAAUUACUCAUAAAAGAUAGAAAAAAAAGGAAAAUAUGACAAUUUUUCAGCAGUACGUAUUUUUUUACCCUUUUUAUUUUGUUUAUACAAUCAUAAAGUGAUUAUGAACCAGAGUUUUCUAUUAAGUAUUGUAAAGUAAAUAUUUAUAUUAAGUACAACCUCAAUUAUAUAAAUCAAUCAAACAUGUAAUGAGUAACAAACCUUGACAUUAAUUAGUUUAGAAAGAUAUGUAUUGAACAUCAAAAUUUAUUAAAUAUAUACUUAUAUCCUAAAGAACAUAAAAUGUCAUCUUCUAUAUUCUGAUAAUUAAACAAUUAACAUAAGUUAUGUAGAUUAAAAAAUAUGCUAAAAUACUAAUUAUAAGUAGAAAAUGAAAAAGAAAAAAAGAAAAAAGAAUAAUUACAAGAAAAUGAAAAAGAAAAAAUGAAAAUAGAAUAAUUACAAGAAAAUGAAAAUGUGACCGUAUGUUAUAAAGGAAACCAACUCAAUCAUUUUUCCAGUGUUACAUUAGCACCAUCUUUAUUAUUUUGAGAUCCUUAUAAUCCUAACAACCAUCUCAAUCUCAUCAAAAUAAUACGAAAACCCUAUCAUAAUCAUUGGUGACGCAAGAAUAAAAUUGAAAAUAAGAAGAAACACAGAUGAAUAGAGUGACAAAAUGAGAGAGUUAGAGAUGUGUAACCAUCAAAAGAUCAACCUAUAUCAGAAAUCACUUGAUUUGUACAUUUGAUAGAUAAGAAAGAAAAUUACUCAUAAAAGAUAGAAAAAAAAGGAAAAUAUGACAAUUUUUCAGCAGUACGUAUUUUUUUACCCUUUUUAUUUUGUUUAUACAAUCAUAAAGUGAUUAUGAACCAGAGUUUUCUAUUAAGUAUUGUAAAGUAAAUAUUUAUAUUAAGUACAACCUCAAUUAUAUAAAUCAAUCAAACAUGUAAUGAGUAACAAACCUUGACAUUAAUUAGUUUAGAAAGAUAUGUAUUGAACAUCAAAAUUUAUUAAAUAUAUACUUAUAUCCUAAAGAACAUAAAAUGUCAUCUUCUAUAUUCUGAUAAUUAAACAAUUAACAUAAGUUAUGUAGAUUAAAAAAUAUGCUAAAAUACUAAUUAUAAGUAGAAAAUGAAAAAGAAAAAAAGAAAAAAGAAUAAUUACAAGAAAAUGAAAAAGAAAAAAUGAAAAUAGAAUAAUUACAAGAAAAUGAAAAUGUGACCGUAUGUUAUAAAGGAAACCAACUCAAUCAUUUUUCCAGUGUUACAUUAGCACCAUCUUUAUUAUUUUGAGAUCCUUAUAAUCCUAACAACCAUCUCAAUCUCAUCAAAAUAAUACGAAAACCCUAUCAUAAUCAUUGGUGACGCAAGAAUAAAAUUGAAAAUAAGAAGAAACACAGAUGAAUAGAGUGACAAAAUGAGAGAGUUAGAGAUGUGUAACCAUCAAAAGAUCAACCUAUAUCAGAAAUCACUUGAUUUGUACAUUUGAUAGAUAAGAAAGAAAAUUACUCAUAAAAGAUAGAAAAAAAAGGAAAAUAUGACAAUUUUUCAGCAGUACGUAUUUUUUUACCCUUUUUAUUUUGUUUAUACAAUCAUAAAGUGAUUAUGAACCAGAGUUUUCUAUUAAGUAUUGUAAAGUAAAUAUUUAUAUUAAGUACAACCUCAAUUAUAUAAAUCAAUCAAACAUGUAAUGAGUAACAAACCUUGACAUUAAUUAGUUUAGAAAGAUAUGUAUUGAACAUCAAAAUUAAUUAAAUAUAUACUUAUAUCCUAAAGAACAUAAAAUGUCAUCUUCUAUAUUCUGAUAAUUAAACAAUUAACAUAAGUUAUGUAGAUUAAAAAAUAUGCUAAAAUACUAAUUAUAAGUAGAAAAUGAAAAAGAAAAAAAGAAAAAAGAAUAAUUACAAGAAAAUGAAAAAGAAAAAAUGAAAAUAGAAUAAUUACAAGAAAAUGAAAAUGUGACCGUAUGUUAUAAAGGAAACCAACUCAAUCAUUUUUCCAGUGUUACAUUAGCACCAUCUUUAUUAUUUUGAGAUCCUUAUAAUCCUAACAACCAUCUCAAUCUCAUCAAAAUAAUACGAAAACCCUAUCAUAAUCAUUGGUGACGCAAGAAUAAAAUUGAAAAUAAGAAGAAACACAGAUGAAUAGAGUGACAAAAUGAGAGAGUUAGAGAUGUGUAACCAUCAAAAGAUCAACCUAUAUCAGAAAUCACUUGAUUUGUACAUUUGAUAGAUAAGAAAGAAAAUUACUCAUAAAAGAUAGAAAAAAAAGGAAAAUAUGACAAUUUUUCAGCAGUACGUAUUUUUUUACCCUUUGUAUUUUGUUUAUACAAUCAUAAAGUGAUUAUGAACCAGAGAUUUCUAUUAAAUAAUGUAAGCUAAAUAUUUCUAUUAAGUACAUCCUCAAUUAUAUAAAUCAAUCAAACAUGUAAUGAGUAACAAACCUUGACAUUAAUUAGUUUAGAAAGAUAUGUAUUGAACAUCAAAAUUAAUUAAAUAUAUAAUUAUAUCCUUAAGAACAUAACAUGUCAUCUUCUAUAUUCUGAUAAUUAAACAAUUAACAUAAGUUAUAUGGAUUAAAAAAUAUGCAAAAAUACUAAUUAUAUGUAAAAAAUGAAAAAGAAAAAAAGAAAAAAGAAUAAUUACAAGAAAAUGAAAAAGAAAAAAUGAAAAUAGAAUAAUUAAAAGAAAAUGAAAAUGUGACCGUAUGUUAUAAAGGAAACCAACUCAAUCAUUUUUCCAGUGUUACAUUAGCAUCAUCUUUAUUAUUUCGAGAUCCUUAUAAUCCUAACAACCAUCUCAAUCACAUCAAAAUAAUACGAAAACCCUAUCAUAAUCAUUGGUGACGCAAGAAUAAAAUUGAAAAUAAGAAAAAACACAGAGGAAUGGAGUGACAAAAUGAGAGAGUUAGAGACGUGUAACCAUCAAAAGAUCAACCUAUAUCAGAAAUCACUUGAUUUGUACAUUUGAUAGAUAAGAAAGAAAACUACUCAUAAAAGAUAGAAAAAAAGGAGAACAUGACAAUUUUUCAGCA